UAUACCUACGGGGGGCAGCAGUGGGGAAUAUUGGGCAAUGGGCGAAAGCCUGACCCAGCAACGCCGCGUGAAGGAAGAAGGCUUUCGGGUUGUAAACUUCUUUUGACAGGGAAGAGCAGAAGACGGUACCUGUCGAAUAAGCCACGGCUAACUACGUGCCAGCAGCCGCGGUAAUACGUAGGUGGCAAGCGUUGUACGGAUUUACUGGGUGUAAAGGGCGUGUAGUCGGGCUGACAAGUCAGAUGUGAAAUCCGGGGGAUGAA
rnacentral:rRNA from 1 species